GUAGGUGUUAGCCUUCUGUAUUAUUGAAAAUGGUCGUUCAUGGCUAUUUUCGACAAAAAUGGGGGUUGUGUGGCCAUUGAUCAUCGACCAGACGCUCAUACACCUCACCCCACAUAUGUUUCCUUGUCGUAGAUCACAUUCUUGGAUUUCUGGUGGAGACCAUUUCUUGGUCAAAAAUCCGUAGGUCUUAGCCUCUAAUAUUAUUGAAAAUGGUCGCUCAUGGCUAUUUUCAUAAAAAAUGGGGGUUGUGUGGCCAUUUAUCAUCGACUAGAGGCUCAUAAAUCUCACCCCACAUAUGUUUCCUUGCCAUAGAUCACAUUCUUGGAUUUCUGGUGGAGACCAUUUCUUGGUCAAAAAUCCGUAGGUGUUAGCCUUCGGUAUUAUUGUAAAUGGUCAUUCAUGGCUAUUUUCGGCAAAAUGGACCAUUUCUUGGUCAAAAAUCCGUAGGUGUUAGCCUUCGGUAUUAUUGAAAAUGGUCGUUCAUGGCUAUUUUGACAAAAAUGGGGGUUGUGUGGCCAUUGAUCAUCGACUAGAGGCUCAUACACCUCACCCCACAUAUGUUUCCUUGCCAUAGAUCACAUUCUUGGAUUUCUGGUGGAGACCAUUUCUUGGUCAAAAAUCCGUAGGUGUUAGCCUUCGGUAUUAUUGUAAAUGGUCAUUCAUGGCUAUUUUCGGCAAAAUGGGGGUUCUGUGGCCAUUGAUCAUCGACCAGAGGCUCGUACACCUCACCCCACAUAUGUUUCCUUGCCAUAGAUCACAUUCUUGGAUUUCUGGUGGAGACCAUUUCUUGGUCAAAAAUCCGUAGGUGUUAGCCUUUGGUAUUUUUGAAAAUGGUCGUUCAUGGCUAUUUUCGGCAAAAUGGGGGUUGUGCGGCCAUUGAUCGUCGACUAGAGGCUCAUACACCUCACCCCACAUAUGUUUCCUUGCCAUAGAUCACAUUCUUGGAUUUAUGGUGGAGACCAUUUCUUGGUCAAAAAUUUGUAGGUGUUAGCCUUCAGUGUCAUUGAAAAUGGUCGUUCAUGGCUAUUUUCGACAAAAAUUAGGGUUGUGUGGCCAUUGAUCGUCGACCAGAGGCUCAUACACCUCACCCCACAUAUGUUUCCUUGCCAUAGAUCACAUUCUUGGAUUUCUGGUGGAGACCAUUUCUUGGUCAAAAAUCCGUAGGUGUUAGCCUUCGGUAUUAUUGAAAAUGGUCGUUCAUGGCUAUUUUCGACAAAAAUGGGGGUUGUGUGGCCAUUGAUCAUCGACCAGAGGCUCAUACACCUCACCCCACAUAUGUUUCCUUGCCAUAGAUCACAUUCUUGGAUUUCUGGUGGAGACCAUUUCUUGGUCAAAAAUUCGUAGGUCUUAGCCUUCGGUAUUAUUGAAAAUGGUCAUUCAUGGCUAUUUUCGGCAAAAUGGGGGUUGUGUGGCCAUUGAUCAUCGACCAUAGGCUCAUACACCUCACCCCACAUAUGUUUCCUUGCCAUAGAUCACAUUCUUGGAUUUCUGGUGGAGACCAUUUCUUGGUCAAAAAUCCGUAGGUGUUAGCCUUCGGUAUUAUUGUAAAUGGUCAUUCAUGGCUAUUUUCGACAAAAAUGGGGGUUGUGUGGCCAUUAAUCAUCGACCAGAGGCUCAUAAAAAAUGGGGGUUGUGUGGCCAUUUAUCAUCGACUAGAGGCUCAUAAACCUCACCCCACAUAUGUUUCCUUGCCAUAGAUCACAUUCUUGGAUUUCUGGUGGAGACCAUUUCUUGGACAAAAAUCCGUAGGUCUUAGCCUCUAGUAUUAUUGAAAAUGGUCGCUGUUAGCCUUCGGUAUUAUUGAAAAUGGUCAUUCAUGGCUAUUUUCGACAAAAAUGGGGGUUGUGUGGCCAUUGAUCAUCGACUAGAGGCUCAUACACCUCACUACACAUAUGUUUCCUUGCCAUAGAUCACAUUCUUGGAUUUCUGGUGGAGACCAUUUCUUGGUCUAAAAUCCGUAGGUGUUAGCCUCUAGUAUUAUUGAAAAUGGUCGCUCAUGGCUAUUUUCAAGGUCGCUCAUGGCUAUUUUCAUAAAAAAUGGGGGUUGUGUGGCCAUUUAUCAUCGACUAGAGGCUCAUAAACCUCACCCCACAUAUGUUUCCUUGCCAUAGAUUACAUUCUUGGAUUUCUGGUGGAAACCAUUUCUUGGUUAAAAACUCGUACGUGUUAGCCUUCGGUAUUAUUGAAAAUGGUCGUUCAUGGCUAUUUUCAAGGUCGCUCAUGGCUAUUUUCAAGGUCGCUCAUGGCUAUUUUCAUAAAAAAUGGGGGUUGUGUGGCCAUUGAUCGUCGACCAGAGGCUCAUACACCUCACCCCACAUAUGUUUCCUUGCCAUAGAUCACAUUCUUGGAUUUCUGGUGGAGACCAUUUCUUGGUCAAAAAUCCGAAUGUGUUAGCCUCCGGUAUUUUUGAAAAUGGUCAUUCAUGGCUAUUUUCGACAAAAAUGGGGGUUGUGUGGCCAUUGAUCAUCGACCAGACGCUCAUACACCUCACCCCACAUAUGUUUCCUUGCCAUAGAUCACAUUCUUGGAUUUAUGGUGGAGACCAUUUCUUGGUCAAAAAUCCGUAG
rnacentral:lncRNA from 1 species